CUUGUGGUCAGCAACAGCAUUUUUGCCAGAGCAUUUCAAAUCCCCAGUGUAUACAGUAAAUUAAAUAAGACUGGAAAAAAGAAGAUAUGUUUUGUCUUUGGUCUGAUGUUGUUGCAAACAGAUUAAGUCCUCCUUAUCAAAGAGAACAGAAGUAACUCCAUCAAAAGAGUAUUACAGACUGAAAAACACAGACUAAUCUUCCCACAUUCCACGCAGAAGAGUAUUAACUGUACAGAAAGGUCUCAGUGUUACCUUGGAAAAAACCCUCAGAAAAAAUAUUUGCAACGAUUUGCAAAAUUAGCCAUUGUUACUUGGGUGUUGUACAUUGUUACAGAGACUUUAAAAACAAAAAAGACAAAAGGAAAUUAAACAACCCAUUCAUCACCACUGAUGAGCCAGCAACAAAAAGCAAUAAAAAGCCAACACCAUGUCAAAAAAGGGGGAUUUUUACUGCUCUGCCACAAUGCAUGCAUACAACCGCAGCAGAAAUAAUCAUGGCUCCUUUGACAUUUUGUCCUAGGAACCUCUCUGUUUCAAGAAGCAAAGAAAAAAAGGAAGGAUCCCUGUGCACUGAGUUGCAUACACAACCAAAUUUAUGUUCUACAGACACCAUGAACAUCAAGUAAUUCCCUGUUCCAAAAAGGUCAAUCCUGUGGGAGCCCAUUUGCUGAAGGAUGAACAAGGAAUGUGUUGACAGAAAGAUAUUGGGUCUUUCCAGGCUCCUGUUGAUGAGAUACCAUCAUUUCAUAGAAACACGGAAGUUUGGGAAGCUGAAAGCCAUCCAGCACUGUUUAUACUCCUCAGGACUUUCUCCCCCUUUUGCUGGGAAGAUGUUGCUUUAUUAGUAUAUUAUUUCGUUUUUCUGCUUAUCCCUGAUUUUUCUCAGAGUUUGGCAUCCUUUUAACAAGAUAGCCUAAUGCAUAUCAGAGCAAUGUAAAUAAAAUCUGAAUUAGCUGUUACUGUACAUGUGUUAGUAUUUAGCAGAUUUGGUUGCCAUAUAAGAGAAGAAACUUCUCAUUUCCAUAACAAGCAUUUAAAGAAAUCUGAAACAAAAGCAACAGAUGUUCCUCCUUGUGUGAACAGCAAAACUCAAAAACAACAACAAAAACACUUAAUUUACCUAGUAAUUGAGUUUCAGAGAGUAGUUCUCAAGAAAAAUGUGAAUAAGACUAUUUUUAUUCACUAUAACAUGACCAUCACAAAAAAAAGGAAAUUUUUAGUCAGCUGAAUUCUGACUGCUCUCUGUACAGUCUCACACUGCUCCAAGGGCACUGUUGCCAGGACAUCAUUCAGCAAACAAACAGAAAAGCCCUCUGCUUUUAGAGACAUAUUUGUGAAAGCUCAUGACAAUAAUCCAUACUUUUACACAAAUAAGAUAUGGAAGAACUGCUACAGUAUAAAAAGAUGCCAGUCAUGUCUCUGUAGGUGUAAAGCAGUAGAGUAACUCAAAGGCUAAAAAAACAUCAUGACUUUGAAGAAAUGUUGAGGGACACUUGGACAAAAAAAAAUAUAUUUCUUUCUCUGCAUGCAAGGACUGAGAAUAACUGGGAAGUCAGACUGGUCUAACUGGGUGCUUAGCACAAGGGGCAACACAUCACAAAUGUGUGGCAUGAAAUGGCUUUGCUGAUGAGCCAAGACAACCCAAGAGGAACACAUGUAACAAUGAUACUUUGAAUUCUGGCAUUCUCUUUCCAAAGAUAAAUGACUGUCUAGGUUUGGGCAAUUUCUCUGUAUGUUGCACUAAAGACAAAUCAAAUCUUUCAUUAGAUUAAUCUACCAGGAGCAGAAAGGGGUGUCAGGAUGAGUAUUACUGCUACCCCUUGUAACUCAGGGCCAUGGGAACAUUAAGACCAGCCAAAAGGGACCUCCUGGACUAUCAAGUCUGAAUAGAUCCCAUUUAGUUAGGCAGUAAGCCUUUCUGUUGCAAUAUAUUCUGUGUGUUGGUAUAGCAUACACUCUAUCGUAAUUCUAUGAUAAGUAAAGGAGAUGAACUUUUCACACUCCAUGCCAGGCCAUGGCAGUUAGGUGGUUUUUGAACUGAUUCAACAUGGUAAUAAAGUAAGAAGUAGAACUUGUCUUUUCUUGCCUCUGGCUUGGAAAGGAAAGUGAUGUAAGUGGCAACUUAAUAGCCACUCUUCUACCAGAUCCCCUAUUAUUUUUGAGCUCUCACCAGGAGUACAAUUCAAAAUCCCCAAAACCCUGCAUAACAGAUCAUUUCCUCCUUUACUGCUGACUUAGGGAGUUCGAAAAAAAAUAAAACAGAAAUUACUUUCCAAACUGAACAGUGAAUUUUCACAAUAAGAUUGUUUGCAAAAGGGUCAGUCUCAUGAAUGUGUGUUCUUGUUAAAAAAAUCACAGCACUUAGACAGAACAAAGCAGUAAGAUCUGCCAAAGCGUAUGAAGAUCCAGAAGUGCUUAAAGAAAGAAUAAAAAAUAGAUACAGUUACUGAAUGAUGGCUGCUAGGACUGUGAAUCAAACAAACAAACAAAAAUAUUAAGUGUUAUGUGCAAUUUUUAAAUAGUAUAGUUCCUGUGCUCUCAAGUACUCAGUUCAGGAGUGAUGAUGGGCCAUGCUAGCGAGACAGCACGGUCCUACAAAUAAGCCCCUUCAAAGUUCUGAAUUCUUAUGGCUGGUUACUAGAGAGAAGUGCACAGAAACUCAGCUGGUUGUAGCUGAACUGUUUUUUUAUGGCUUACAAGCAAUGUCUGAUUUACACCAGUGAAUUUCAGGAGUUGUUCUGCCAAAGUAGAUUACGUGAAGUGGCAAAUAUGUUCUACAAUUGUACAAAA
ensembl:lncRNA